AGUGAACGCUGGCGGUAGGCCUAACACAUGCAAGUCGAACGGCAGCACAGGAGAGCUUGCUCUCUGGGUGGCGAGUGGCGGACGGGUGAGGAAUACAUCGGAAUCUACUCUGUCGUGGGGGAUAACGUAGGGAAACUUACGCUAAUACCGCAUACGACCUACGGGUGAAAGCAGGGGACCUUCGGGCCUUGCGCGAUUGAAUGAGCCGAUGUCGGAUUAGCUAGUUGGCGGGGUAAAGGCCCACCAAGGCGACGAUCCGUAGCUGGUCUGAGAGGAUGAUCAGCCACACUGGAACUGAGACACGGUCCAGACUCCUACGGGAGGCAGCAGUGGGGAAUAUUGGACAAUGGGCGCAAGCCUGAUCCAGCCAUACCGCGUGGGUGAAGAAGGCCUUCGGGUUGUAAAGCCCUUUUGUUGGGAAAGAAAUCCAGCUGGCUAAUACCCGGUUGGGAUGACGGUACCCAAAGAAUAAGCACCGGCUAACUUCGUGCCAGCCGCCGCCGUAACAC
rnacentral:rRNA from 1 species